rnacentral:lncRNA from 1 species
CAAAAUAAAUAUCUAUAGCAGCUUAGAGGUAUGUAAAUGGUGGUUUCUUCAUUGUCUUCUCUCUGACGGUGGCGAGAAUGAUGCAGAACUGUAGGCUGUGUGUGCACUGCGGAGGCUCGUCGGAAGCUUGUCUGCCUUGAUGUUCAUUAAACUCUACGGACCCCCUCUUGCGCAAUGGAACCCAGAACGAUAUGCGACCACUUUGUUAUCGCGAUACUGUUCUACCGAGGACACCCAAACCAGAGUGGCCACAGCAAAGCCCAAGGAGCCUGAUCCUCUCUGGAAGUUGCUGUGGCCAUGCUUGGGAUAUUUAACUUAUAUUGGCUAUUGGUUGAGACGCAGGGCCCAUUCUUGCUUGGUAUAUCAGGUUGGGAAAUUGGAAAUGUGAAUUUGACGAAGAUGGAGGACCUGAGCCCUAGGAUCAUGCCUCAGGACUACCUGGCCUGAUGACUCCUGGCUGCCCCCAUUCCACCUGGUUGUGCUGCUGCUCCAGUUUCAACUGUUCUGCCUGCAGCUAUCGAAGCCUGACUUGUUUCACCGGACGUGCUACGUUGUCCCCGACCUGCUGUUUUUGACUCUCUCUUUCUCUCGCACCUGCUGUCUUGACCUCUGAAUGAUCGGCUAUGAAAAGCCAACUGACAUUUACUCCUGAGGUACUGACCUGUUGCACACUCUACAAACACUGUGAUUAUUAUUUGACCCUGUUGGUCAUCUAUGAACGUUUGAACAUCUUGAAGAACAAUCUGGCGUUAAUGGCCAUGUACUCUUAUAAUCUCCUCCCGGCACAGCCAGAAGAGGACUGGCCACCCAUCAGAGCCUGGAUCCUUUCUAGGUUUCUUCUUAGGUUUGUGCCUUUCUAGGGAGUUGAUGAGCUGAUGUAAAAAGAGCUUUAUAAAUAAAUGUGAUUGAUUAAUUGACUUGGAGUUUGCCAAAAGGCUCCUAAAUGGCACCUAAAUGACUCUCAGACCAUGAGAAACAAGAUUCUCUGCUCUGAUGAAACCAAGAUUGAACUCUUUGGCCUGAAUGCCAAGCGUCACGUCUGGAGGAAACCUGGCACCAUCCCUACGGUGAAGCAUGGUGGUGGCAGCAUCAUGUUGUUGGGAUGUUUUUCAGCAGCAGGGACUGGGAGACUAGUCAGGAUCGAGGGAAAGAUGAACGGAGCAAAGUACAGAGAUCCUUGAUGAAAACCUGCUCCAGAGCACUCAGGACCUCAGACUGGGGUGAAGGUUCACCCAAAGACUGGGGUGAAGGUUCACGACCCUAAGCACACAGCCAAGACAGCUCAGGAGUGGCAAGUCUCUGAAUGUCCUCGAGUGGCCCAGCCAGAGCCUGGACUUGAACUCGAUCAAACAUCUCUGGAGAGACCUGAAAAUAGCUGUGCUGCAACGCUCCCCAUCCAACCUGACAGAGCUUGAGAGAAUCGAGACUCAAGGCUGUAAUCGCUGCCAAAGAGGUUUCAACAAAGUACUGAGUAAAGGGCCUGAAUACUUAUGUAAAUGUGAUAUUUCCGUUUUUUGUUUUUAAUACAUUUUCAAACAAAAACGUAUUUUAGUUUUUUUUAUUAUCGGUUAGUGUGUGUAGAUUGAUGAGGGGAAAAAUGAUUUAAUCAAUUUUAGAAUAAGGCUGUAACGUAACAAAAUGUGGAAAAAGUCAAGAGGUCUGAAUACUUUCCGAAUA